rnacentral:lncRNA from 1 species
GGGAUUGUUAGUUGAAGGCCCCAGUUCCUCCUUGGUAACCCUCUCUACAGAAUUGUUUGAAUGCCCUCAUGGCCUGGCAGCCUAGCUUCCACAAGAACAAACAGUCCAAGAUGCCAAGGCAGAAGCUGAAAUUCCUUUUAUAACCUAGCCCCAAAAGUUACCUUUGUCAUGUCUACUAUACUCUAUUGGUUAUGCAUGUUCUGUUGGAGGAAGGAGACUAUGGAAAGGCAUGAAUAUCAAAAGGCUAUGAUCAUUGGAGCCAUCUUGGAGGCUGGCUAUCACAACACUCACCUCACUGCUAUCAGACUGAUCCCUUAAACAUGAACCUGUCUAAUUAAAGUGGAAAUGGUAAAGAUACACUGUGGAUAGAGGAAUUGAGAAGAAUGGUGGUGAAGGUCUGAAAGAAAAUGGAAGAUAAAGCAGCAAUUUACUGUGGGCAAGCAAACAGAUACGUCAAAUGACAUUGAGGGUUUCACUGAAGACCAGUGACUCAAACUUACCCAGUAUGGCCACUGUUCUCUCAAAAAACGUGAGCAAAUGACAUCUGGAGCUGAUCUUCAAUAUUUUAGAGAAA